rnacentral:rRNA from 1 species
GAUGAACGCUGGCGGCGUGCCUAAUACAUGCAAGUCGAACGCACAGCGAAAGGUGCUUGCACCUUUCAAGUGAGUGGCGAACGGGUGAGUAACACGUGGAUAACCUACCUCAAGGUUGGGGAUAACAUUUGGAAACAGAUGCUAAUACCGAAUGAGACUUCUUGUUGCAUGACAGGAAGUUAAAAGGCGCUACGGCGUCGCCUAGAGAUGGAUCCGCGGUGCAUUAGUUAGUUGGUGGGGUAAAGGCCUACCAAGACAAUGAUGCAUAGCCGAGUUGAGAGACUGAUCGGCCACAUUGGGACUGAGACACGGCCCAAACUCCUACGGGAGGCUGCAGUAGGGAAUCUUCCACAAUGGGCGAAAGCCUGAUGGAGCAACGCCGCGUGUGUGAUGAAGGCUUUCGGGUCGUAAAGCACUGUUGUAUGGGAAGAACAGCUAGAGUAGGGAAUGACUUUAGUUUGACGGUACCAUACCAGAAAGGGACGGCUAAAUACGUGCCAGCAGCCGCGGUAAUACGUAUGUCCCGAGCGUUAUCCGGAUUUAUUGGGCGUAAAGCGAGCGCAGACGGUUGAUUAAGUCUGAUGUGAAAGCCCGGAGCUCAACUCCGGAAAGGCAUUGGAAACUGGUCAACUUGAGUGCAGUAGAGGUAAGUGGAACUCCAUGUGUAGCGGUGGAAUGCGUAGAUAUAUGGAAGAACACCAGCGGCGAAGGCGGCUUACUGGACUGUAACUGACGUUGAGGCUCGAAAGUGUGGGUAGCAAACAGGAUUAGAUACCCUGGUAGUCCACACCGUAAACGAUGAACACUAGGUGUUAGGAGGUUUCC